AAAUCGUGGGUUUACGUUCACAAUAACAAACAUCACAUUCAUAUCAGAGCAUCACGCUCAUCACUGGCUCAGUAUCGCUCUCAGCCUUCACUCUCUCACUCACCUCCGCUCUCUUUCAUUCACUCUAACUCACCUCUCUCACUCACUGCCGCUCUCCACUUCUCUCACCCUAUAACGCAAAGGUCCAAGGUUUAAAGAGAAACAAGAAGAAAAAAGGCCCACCUUUUGAGAAAACUACGGAGACGAUGAAGAUUCAAACCUCCCCCCUUUCGCCUCUUCAAAAGGUUUAUUCUUGAUUGAUUUUUUUUGAUUUAGGGUUUUCUGUUUGGCCGCCUCCCUCUCUCAAUUUUUCGUUUUUUCCUUCCUCCUCCCUUU
rnacentral:lncRNA from 1 species